AAUGGGUUGUAGCUGGCCUUUCACAAGGCAUGUGCACGCCCUGCUCAUCCACUCUCAACCUCUGUGCACUUAUUGUAGGUCGGUGGAAGAUAGAAGUGUCUCUGACGCUUUUUAUUGGAAGCCUUCCUAUGUUUUACUACAAACGCUUCAGUUUUAGAAUGUAUCUCUGCGUAUAACGCAUCUAUAUACAACUUUCAGCAACGGAUCUCUUGGCUCUCGCAUCGAUGAAGAACGCAGCGAAAUGCGAUAAGUAAUGUGAAUUGCAGAAUUCAGUGAAUCAUCGAAUCUUUGAACGCACCUUGCGCUCCUUGGUAUUCCGAGGAGCACGCCUGUUUGAGUGUCAUGGUAUUCUCAACCUUCAUAACUUUUUUGUUAUCGAAGGCUUGGAUUUGGAGGUUGUGCUGGCUCUAGUUAGUCGGCUCCUCUUAAAUGUAUUAGCGUGAACGUUUACGGAUCGCUAUCAGUGUGAUAAUUAUCUGCGCUGUUAGUGUUGAAGUAUUGUUAGUGUCAUGCUUCUAACUGUCCUUUGCUGGACAAUUUACUUGACAUCUGGCCUCAAAUCAGGCGGGACUACCCGCUGAACUUAAGCAUAUCAAUAAGCGGAGGAAAAGAAACUAACAAGGAUUCCCCUAGUAACUGCGAGUGAAGCGGGAAAAGCUCAAAUUUAAAAUCUGGCAGUCUUUGGCUGUCCGAGUUGUAGUCUGGAGAAGCGUUUUCCGCGCUGGACCGUGUACAAGUCUCCUGGAACGGAGCGUCAUAGAGGGUGAGAAUCCCGUCUUUGACACGGACUACCCAGUGCUUUGUGAUGCGCUCUCAAAGAGU
rnacentral:rRNA from 1 species